GUGUUUGGAGUUAAGCAUAGAGCAUGAUUUGUUUUGAAACUAAUUAGGGCCUCUUAUGGAAAGUGCGUCACAGAUCCUCCAGGCUGUCUGGGAAACAGAAUAAAAGCACUUGUCAGCCAGGCUCUUUUCUCCACUUCUCGUCUAUUUUCCUUGGUGAACCUGGUUUAAUCUCCAUCACAGAAAGAUGUCUUGCUAUGGCCUACGCAACAUACCAUGUGAGGUUCAAUGCUCAACGCCAGAUGCUGUCACCUACAAGGAGCCUUGUGUCAUUCAGUGCCCUGAGUCAAUAUUUGAGACUGACUCACCGCCGGGCAUUGCUAUAAUCCCUGGGCCAAUUCUCACCACUUUCCCUCAUUACUCUCUAGUGGAACAUUCAGCACUAUUUGACAUUGAGAGAUCAUUCUGCUCCAAAAGAUCUCUCGGUUCUGAGGGUUUCAUGAACUUGUAUAAUUAGAGUUUUCCAUCCUUUGACACCAGAUCCUAGAAUCUUUAUUCCUCCCAGCUCCCCAAUAAAUUCUGCUCUGUAAACUGUGAGCAUGUUGAACCCAGUAGGAAUAUCCAGGGUACAAGUAACCUGGAAAUGAAAAGUAAGAUACAGAUUCAUGGCUGAGCUCAGCACAAGGAGUUUCAGAACUGCUGAGAACCCACAACUCCAAUUCAAGUCAAUAGAAGUUGCAACUGCUCAGAACUACAGCUGUGUGGGAACCAGAAUUUCCACUGCAGUGAAAUAGUCACAAUUUCAAAAAACUUGAAAAUUCUAAUUCUAAUUUGGAACAAAAACAAAUUUAAAAUGGAAUUUUUGAAAAAAAUUUCAAAAAAUGUUGUUUUGACUUUUUACAGAUUUUAUACUAUAAAAUUAAAUUAAAAAACAACAUUGUUUUACAUGAAAAAUCAAACGUUCUAUUCCUAUGAUAUCUGAUUAUGACAUAAUCAAAACACUGCCCCCCACUUCCCAAAUGAAAUUUCAUUGAAAUUAAUAAGCUCCUAUAGAAAGUUUCAAUUUAGCUGAAAUUUACAUUUUCCUAUGUAAAACUUUCCAUUGUAAAUUUAACCAAUUCUACUUGGUACCUCUUAAAAUUAGGCCUAAAUAAGUUUCUCUCAUGUUAUGCUUUACUUUAGAUCUAUAAUAUAAUGGGUUUCCAACUUAGUUAUCUGCUUGCAAUGUGCUUUGUCCUAAUUGACCCUGUCUGGGAUAAAUCAAAUAACUAGAAAUAUAAGAAAAUGGGACUUGAUUGUCAAACUCUAUAGUUAUAACAAAGAAAGAACAACAUCUUGUGUGAAAUUUAAACCUGGGAAUGGGUGAUUAGUUGUAGCUUUUCUUGAAUCCCUGGAAAUGUUUUCUUUAUAUACUGAAUGAUUUCAUUUGGCAAGCAUACACUCCAUUUGUCAUUCUCAUUAAAAAUUAUGCUGCCACAUA